AUACGAAGGGGGCUAGCGUUGUUCGGAAUUACUGGGCGUAAAGCGCGCGUAGGCGGACUGAUCAGUUGGGGGUGAAAUCCCAGGGCUUAACCCUGGAACUGCCUCCAAUACUGUCAGUCUUGAGUUCGGGAGAGGUGAGUGGAAUUCCUAGUGUAGAGGUGAAAUUCGUAGAUAUUAGGAAGAACACCAGUGGCGAAGGCGGCUCACUGGCCCGAUCCUGACGCUGAGGCGCGAAAGCGUGGGGAGCAAACAGGAUUAGAUACCCCAGUAGUCC
rnacentral:rRNA from 1 species